rnacentral:rRNA from 1 species
CGCGGCCUAUCAGCUUGUUGGUGAGGUAACGGCUCACCAAGGCAUCGACGGGUAGCUGGUCUGAGAGGACGAUCAGCCACACUGGGACUGAGACACGGCCCAGACUCCUACGGGAGGCAGCAGUAGGGAAUCUUGCGCAAUGGGCGAAAGCCUGACGCAGCAACGCCGCGUGGGGGAUGAAUGCCUUCGGGUUGUAAACCCCUUUCAGCAGGGACGAAAAUGACGGUACCUGCAGAAGAAGCUCCGGCCAACUACGUGCCAGCAGCCGCGGUAAUACGUAGGGAGCGAGCGUUGUCCGGAAUUAUUGGGCGUAAAGAGCUCGUAGGCGGUUCAGUAAGUCGGGUGUGAAAACUCAAGGCUCAACCUUGGGACGCCACUCGAUACUGCUGUGACUUGAGUCCGGUAGAGGAGUGUGGAAUUCCUGGUGUAGCGGUGAAAUGCGCAGAUAUCAGGAGGAACACCAGCGGCGAAGGCGGCACUCUGGGCCGGUACUGACGCUGAGGAGCGGAAGCAUGGGGAGCAAACAGGAUUAGAUACCCUGGUAGUCCAUGCCGUAAACGUUGGGCACUAGGUAUGGGAUCAUAUCAACGGAUUCCGUGCCGUAGCUAACGCAUUAAGUGCCCCGCCUGGGGAGUACGG